AUGAAAGAAGUGACCGGGCUCAGGCCCUUGGCUGAGAAGCUGAGAAGACUCAAGGCUGCCUCGGUCUCUGCUCCCUGUGAGCGCCAGCCUCCCCAGGCUCCUCUUUGGGCCCUGGCCCAGCAAAGGCGGCUCAUGAGGAAACAGCCGGGGCCCCUUUGCCCUGACAGCUCAUUCCCUUCUCGAAGCUCUCCCCAGGGCCCCCAGCAGGCUCAGGCUCUCAACAGGCUGUGGCCCACAGUGCCUCGGUGCAAGCUGCUGCCCCGGAUGCUCCUUCUCCUGUUUCCUGACUUGAGCUUCACCACUCGCUCCACAUUCCCCACCAACUACUGGUCCCUGGGCCCUGCCCAGGCGCCCAGCUACGGCACCCAGCCGGUCAGCAGUGCGGCCAGCGUCUAUGCAGGCACCGGGAACUCUGGUUCCAGGAUCUCCGUGUCCCGCUCUACCAGCUUCCGGGGCGGCACGGGGUCCGGGGGCCUGGCCGUGGGGAUAACUGGGGGUCUGGCAGGAAUGGGAGGCAUCCAGAACAAGGAGACCAUGCAAAGCCUGAACGACUGCUGGCCUCCUUCCUGGACAGAGUGAGGCAACUGGAGACCAAGAACCGGAAGCUGGAGAGCAAAAUCCGGGAGCACCUGGAGAAGAAGGGACCCCAGGUCAGAGACUGCAGCCAUUACUUCAAGACCAUCAAGGACCUGAGGGCUCAGAGCUUGGCAAUUACCGUGGACAAUGCCUGCAUUGUUCUGCAGAUCGACAAGACCCGUCUUGCUGCUGAUGACUUGAGAGUCAAGUAUGAGACAGAGCUGGCCAUGUGCCAGUCUGUGGAGAGCAACAUCCAUGGACUCCGCAAGGUCACUGAUGACACCAAUGUCACUCGGCUGCAGCUGGAGACAGAGAUCGAGGCUCUCAAGGAGGAGCUGCUCUUCAUGAAGAAGAACCACAAAGAGGAAGUAAAAGGCCUACAAGCCCAGAUUGCCAGCUCUGGGUUGACCGUGGAGGUAGAUCCCCAAAUCUCAGGACCUCGCCAAGAUCAUGGCAGCCAUCCGGGCCCAAUAUGAUGAGCUGGCUUGGAAGAACAGAAAGGAGCUGGACAGGUACUUGUCUCAGCAGAUUGAGGAGAGCACCACAGUGGUCACCAUGCAGUCUGCCAAGGCUGGAGCUGCUGAGAUGACGCUCACAGAGCUGAGAUGUACAGUCCAGUCCUUGGAGAUCGACCUGGACUCCAUGAGAAAUCUGAAAGCCAGCUUGGAGGACCGCCUGAGGGAGGUGAAGGCCUGCUACACCUUGCAGAUGGAGCAGCUCAACAAGAUCCUGCUGCACCUGGGGUCAGAGCUGGCACAGAUCUGGGCAGAGGGACAGUGCCAGGCCCAGGAGUACGAGGCCCUGUUGAACAUCAAGGUCAAGCUGGAGGCUGAGAUCACCACCUACUGCCACCUGCUGGAAGAUGGCGAGGACUUCAAUCUUGGUGAUGCCCUGGACAGCAGCAACUCCAUGCAAACCAGUCAAAAGACCACCAUCCACCAGAGAGUGGAUGGCAAAGUGGUGCCUGAGACCAACGACACGGAAGUUCUGAGACACUAA